ensembl:lncRNA
AUUUUUAUUGCAUGCUUCAUCAAUUUAUUUUAUUUAAUUUUUUUAUUUUUAUUUUUAAAGAAAAUUAAUCAACUGUACUUCACUAGGGCCCAGAGUAUUUGUUUACCAACCUAAUGAAACGAUCACAUGCUUUGUUUGUACAGGGAGGAAAAACUGUCCAUCUCUUCCAAACCUUCACACAUUUUUGAAAAAUGUGUUUCUAAGAGCUCUCUCUGUUUGGCUCUGAGCCCAUAAAGGCUCUGGAAGCACUUGAAAGGAAUGAUUCAGAGUCCCUCUGAGGGUGCUUUUAUUAAUCUUUGGAAACCCACCAUACUGUACCACGCUGGAAAAGAAAAAAGUUAACUUUCAGUAUAAAUGUGUGUGUGUGUGUGUGUGUGUGUGUGUGUGUGUGUGUGUGUGUGUCUUUGAUUGUAAUUUAGGCUGUUUAGCACUUAAAAGAGAGUGAAAAUACUAUAUAUUUCUCUUUAAAAGCAGGACAUUUACUUAUGCCCCACAGAGGAUGUCUUAGUGGACAUUUAGGAUGCGAAGUAUUGAAGUUUUUGUCCUUAAAAAUAAAUAAAUAAAUAAAUAAAUAAAUAAAGUAAAAAUAACCAUUAGCCUUUAGUUAACAUCACAGCAGGACAAGUUUGUACCCUGAAAAGCAAAGAAUAUAUUUCACAUUCAGCUGUGGAGUAUUUCUCACCACAACUUUGGUCUUGACCUGCUAGAGUCAGAGAGUGAUGAAGAAGAAAAUUAACCUGGGAUUAUUUGAACCUGAGUCUGAGGGUGACGGUUCUGAAGAAGAGUUUCACUGUCAACAAUAUAGGAUUAUGAUCAUGUGUCCAGAAGGCUGUAGACUCCAAACGACAAGCCUGCCAAAGAUGGAAAAAAAGGAAGGUGGAAAAAUGAAGUGGACAAGACACAAUUAAAGCCAUAGCCAACUGCUUUUUGGCCUUGGCAGUCAAAAGCUAGAAGGUGUCCAGUUUUCUCUUUUUAUUUGAAGCUGAAUGCAAGUGAUGAUAAAUAUAAGGACAGACAAGGUCUGCAGUUACUCGACGGAGUGCAGACACACCACACACAAUAACUGUCAGCCUUGGGCCUCUCUCUCGCUCUUUCGCCCUCUCCACUUUCUCUAAUUAAUGGAGACAAUGUCAAUUCCUCAUGCUUCUGUAUUGCUUAGUGCUCAGUAGGUAGGGCAUGCUUGGUGAUGAAAAUAUUAAAAAUUUUACCCAGAAGGCACACAUCAUCAUAAGGCAUUGAUAUUUGGUUAAAUUUCGGUUGUGACGUGGGAUGACCAAAAUUCAAUGUCAAUUCAACAUCUAAUGUCAAUGUUAAUUUGAUGUCCAAUACCGACAUCAGCUGAUGUUGAUUUUUGUUGUUUUUAGGUUGUGUAACCUAAAUCCAACGUUAAGUCAGUGUCAAAUUGGCGUCAAAUACUGACAUCAAGCCGAUUUUCAUUCUCAACCAAAAUGCAAUGUCUGUCGGAUGUCAUGUCCAACAUCAACCAGGCGUUAUAUUGACAUCUUGUGCAUGCUGGGUACUGUAUUUUUGGUCAAAUAAAUGGAGCCCUUUGAGCA